UGCUAGCCGUGCUCUGAAAUCACUGAUUCCAUUGUAUCAAAACUUCUACGAGGAGAGAGCACGGUACCUGCAGACAAUUGUCCAGCACCACUUAGAGCCAACGACAUUUGAAGACUUUGCAGCCCAGGUUUUCUCUCCAGCUCCCUACCAUCAUUUCCCUGCUGAUGCAGGAUCCUACCCAGAGAUCGCACCCAGUGACGCUCCCACAGCAGCACAGGUAGAUGGGGCUGACCUGGCCUCUCCCAUGUCUCCUCGAACUAGCAAAAGCCGCAUGUCCAUGAAGCUGCGUCGGUCCUCUGGCUCAGCCAAUAAAUCCUAAGGAGACAGGCAGCCUGGCAGCUCAGCAGCAGUGUUAACUCUUCCAGGCCUU
rnacentral:lncRNA from 1 species